AUGGUCACGGAGUACGAGGUGGUAGGGGACGGCAAGACGCUUAACACGGCGGCGUUCGCCAGGGCGGUGGCGGACCUGGGCAGGCGCGCGGGCGACCGCGGCACGGCGCUGGUGGUGCCGGCGGGGCGGUGGGUCACGGGGCCCUUCAACCUCACCAGCCACUUCACCCUCUUCCUCCACCUUGGCGCUGAGAUCCUCGCAUCCCAGGUGCGCCCCUCUUCUUCAGUUACCCGUGGGAUUAAUUAG
rnacentral:rRNA from 1 species